rnacentral:rRNA from 1 species
GACGGACGCUGGCGGCGUGCUUAACACAUGCAAGUCGAACGAUGAAGCUAGAGCUUGCUCUGGUGGAUUAGUGGCGAACGGGUGAGUAACACGUGAGUAACCUGCCCCGAACUCUGGGAUAACUGCUGGAAACGGUAGCUAGUACUGGAUACGACCUACGAAGGCAUCUUCUGUAGGUGGAAAGAAUUUCGGUUCGGGAUGGACUCGCGGCCUAUCAGCUUGUUGGUGAGGUAAUGGCUCACCAAGGCGACGACGGGUAGCCGGCCUGAGAGGGUGACCGGCCACACGGGGACUGAGACACGGCCCAGACUCCUACGGGAGGCAGCAGUGGGGAAUAUUGCACAAUGGGCGCAAGCCUGAUGCAGCAACGCCGCGUGAGGGAUGACGGCCUUCGGGUUGUAAACCUCUUUUAGUAGGGAAGAAGCGAAAGUGACGGUACCUGCAGAAAAAGCACCGGCUAACUACGUGCCAGCAGCCGCAGUAA